GGCGAGAUGGCCGAGCGGUCUAAGGCGCCAGAAUCAGGAAGAGUCCAUCUGGUCCGAAAGGGCGUGGGUUCGAAUCCCACUCUCGUCA